rnacentral:sRNA from 1 species
AGGCAGAGGCUGAAGUGAGCCAAGAUCGCAUGACUGCACUCCAGCCUGGGCGACAGAGCAAGACCCUGUCUCAAAAAAAAUAAAAGUGGUGGGGUGGACUAUGCCAGAUUGGAAACCAGCACAGACAAACCAUCUGCAAAAGAUGUUUUGGGGUCUAUAGAGAAAUUUGAUUAAAUGAGGUGAAAAUUCACCCAAGUGGAAACUGGGGGUUGUUGGCUUUGGUGGAGGGGGGGAACAGAUUGUGUGAUCUCAUUAGAUUAAAAAAAAAAGUAUGUAAAAAAUUCUUGGCUGGGUGCAGUGGCUCAUGCCUGUAAUCCCAACACUUUGGGAGGCCAAGGCAGGUGGAUCACCUGAGGUCAAGAAUUCGAGACCAGCCUGGCCAACAUGGUGAAACCCCAUCUCUACUAAAAACACAAAAAUUAGCUGGGCGUAGUGGUGGGUGCCUGUAAUCCCAGCUACUCGGGAGGUUGAGGCAGGAGAAUCAUUUGAACUCAGGAGACAGAGGUUGCAGUGAGUCGAGAUUGUGCCACUGCACUCCAGCCUGGGUGAUACAGCGAGACUCCAUCUCCAAAAAGAAAAACAAAAUUCUAGGGAGAUAUUGAACAGUGGUAAUCUCUGAAAAGUGGGAAUGUAAUUUUUUUAUUUUGCUUUACUGUAUUCUCUAGUUUUCUAUAAUGCAGUUAAUGAAUUGCUGGGAUGAUGCCUCCAGUGAAUGAAAGGGGGUGCUAUCUAGGGUGUGAGUUCACUUUAAAGCAGGGAGCAAGGACAACACAUCCACAACAUUGGAGGGAAGGCAGGAAAAGAGAGCUUGGAGGUCUUGGACUGGUUUCCUGGGUCUCCAACAGCCGAGCACUAUGUCUAGGAGGAGGAAAGCAAUCACCCCAAAUUCCACAAGUCCAAACAGGCUGAAGAAGUGGGUGCUUUGCACCAGUUGCAUGUAAGUUUCUGAAGCUGGAGCUUAGGGCUGCCUGAUUUUUGAGGGAAUUGCAAACUCUGUGAAGGGGCAUAGCUUGUGGAAAGAGGAUGAGCCUGGAGUCCACACUGACUGCUGUACCCUGUCUCCUCCCCAGCACUGGCCAUGGGCCUCUGUGUCGCCAUGAUCGCCUUUGUCCGCCUGCCGAGCCUCAAGGUCUCCUGCCUGCUUCUCUCAGGGCUUCUCAUCUAUGAUGUCUUUUGGGUAUUUUUCUCAGCCUACAUCUUCAAUAGCAACGUCAUGGUGAAGGUGGCCACUCAGCCGGCUGACAAUCCCCUUGACGUUCUAUCCCGGAAGCUCCACCUGGGGCCCAAUGUUGGGCGUGAUGUUCCUCGCCUGUCUCUGCCUGGAAAACUGGUCUUCCCAAGCUCCACUGGCAGCCACUUCUCCAUGUUGGGCAUCGGAGACAUCGUUAUGCCUGGUCUCCUACUAUGCUUUGUCCUUCGCUAUGACAACUACAAAAAACAAGCCAGUGGGGACUCCUGUGGGGCCCCUGGACCUGCCAACAUCUCCGGGCGCAUGCAGAAGGUCUCCUACUUUCACUGCACCCUCAUCGGAUACUUUGUAGGCCUGCUCACUGCUACUGUGGCGUCUCGCAUUCACCGGGCCGCCCAGCCCGCCCUUCUCUAUUUGGUGCCAUUUACUUUAUUGCCACUCCUCACGAUGGCCUAUUUAAAGGGCGACCUCCGGCGGAUGUGGUCUGAGCCUUUCCACUCCAAGUCCAGCAGCUCCCGAUUCCUGGAAGUAUGAUGGAUCACGUGGAAAGUGACCAGAUGGCCGUCAUAGUCCUUUUCUCUCAACUCAUGGUUUGUUUCCUCUUAGAGCUGGCCUGGUACUCAGAAAUGUACCUGUGUUUAAGGAACUGCCGUGUGACUGGAUUUGGCAUUUAAAGGGAGCUCGUUUGCAGGAGAGAGGUGCUGGAGCCCUGUUUGGUUCCUUCUCUUCCUGCGGAUGUAGAGGUGGGGCCCCUUCCAAGAGGGACAGGCCUCUCCCCAGCGCGCCUUCCUCCCACGUUUUUAUGGAUCUGCACCAGACUGUUACCUUGUGGGGGAGAUGGAGAUUUGACUGUUUAAAAACUGAAAACAGCGAGGAGUCUUUCUAGAACUUUUGAACACUAAAAGGAUGAAAAAAAUUAGCAAACCGAAGUUUCUUCAAUGACCCCUCGAGAACUUUGGGACCAGUUUCCUAUGGGGGACUCAGUUUCAGAGAACUGAGACAGAAGCUCUUCUGUCGUUAUAUUCUUCUUUCCUUUUUUUGGAUUUAUUAAAUAUUUUCUGUGGUGUG